GUGUGUCUGUAAGUGUUGGGGAAAACACUGCAGAAAAGUGACUAUGGUGCUGCAGUCUCUACUGCCAGUGGAAACACAACAGAGCCAGUGGUUCAAACUUAAGCUUGUUUAUUUUGAAAAGAUUUUCACCCUUUGUUUUUGAUAAUGGCUUUUUUUAUAUGAAAUUGUACAUCUGUGUAUAUAUUUAGUAUGUGACCAAAAAUGUACAUAUCUUUUGUUAGUUUUUUUUAUUUUUUAUACCUGUCAGAACUUGAUUGCGUUUUUAAUGGGUUGUAGUCAAUCGUUAGCACUAGUCAAUAGAAUUGGAUUGGAAUAGCACUUUCUAGAAAAAGAAAGUAGUCUGAGAAUAAAACUCCAGUGAACGGUAGACUGAAGAGCCAGAGCGCACACGCUGAACGAUUAAUUGCAAUCAGAGUCCUGUGAAAAGCUGCCUGUUUAAACGAGUACGCAUUCCUGCCACAAGGGCCAGUUGAUGGGAAAGGGAGAGACAAUUAUGGCAAAUUAGUCAAGGCAACUAUGUUAGCAAAUCUCAACUGAUGUGAUUUUGAACUUAAACUUGAACUUGAAGGGAGUCAAAAGAGACAAAAGGCUGGAACGGAGCUCAACUGGACACCUGAGACUGACUGGAGGGUAGCAGAAGCUAGCGCACACAGGGGUGGGCUUUGGUGUUAAAUGAGCUGUGCUGAUAAAUCUGUGUAUGUAAUUGUAAGUCAUCUCAGGCCAAGGUACUUGUUUCUAUGUCCUUGAUUUAUAUCUCUUGUAUUUUUUUGUAUUUCUUUUUUUUAAAUUUUAAUCACAAUCACUGCAGUCUUCCUCUGUUGGAAGAGUACUGUUCAGUGGACUCCACAGUGGCCUUGUAACUGACCUUAAACUUGAUAUUCUUGAGGAAUUUCACUGAUGUAGCAUAAGAUUUGACUGAAUAAAACGUUUUUUUGUCUUUCUGACAGAACACUUCUGAACACUCUGAACACAACACUUUACUUGCAGUUGAAAAAAAUACUUUAUUUUCAAGUCAAUAAAUAGGAUGAUCACAAACAUCACACAAAUAAAUAGCAUUUUUUAUAAAUACUUGUUGAAUCCAUCAUUAAUAAAUAAAUAAACACUUCAAUAAAUAAACAAUCUUAACAUGUCAAUAAAUAAAUAUCAUUUAAAUAAAUAAAUAAAUAAAUAAGUAAAUAAUUCAUGAGAAUUUACAGAGUCAGUCUCUGUUGCUGAUGGUAAGAUUUAAAAAGCUUAUAUAAUCACUGUAGUUGUAGUUCCACGGCUUAGAAACCAGUACUUUUGGUUUCAGCCAUAAGAGUUUCUCAGUGUUACUGAGAAAGUAUCUGUAGUUCAUUUUUGAUUUUGAUAAAAUUAUUUCAAAGGUUAUGUGUGCACCAAACGUGGCUCUGUUCGAAUGAUAAUGUUACUGACAUAUGUUACUGAGGAGGAGGAGAACAAGGAUGGUGAUGAUGAUGAUGAUGGUGGUGGU
ensembl:lncRNA